rnacentral:rRNA from 1 species
UACUAGAGUAGCACUCGCAUAUCAAUAAGCGGAGGAAAAGAAACUAACAAGGAUUCCCCUAGUAACGGCGAGUGAAGCGGGAAGAGCUCAAAUUUGAAAUCUUAAAGGGUUUCCCUUUACGAAUUGUAGUUUAAAGAAGUGUUUUCUGUUGAGGUUUUGGUAAAAGUUCUUUGGAAUAGGACAUCAUAGAGGGUGAGAAUCCCGUAUUUGACCUUUACUUUCAACUUUGUGAUACACUUUCAAAGAGUCGGAUUGUUUGGGAAUGCAGUCCAAAAUGGGUGGUAAAUUUCAUCUAAAGCUAAAUAUUGGCGAGAGACCGAUAGCGAACAAGUACCGUGAGGGAAAGAUGAAAAGAACUUUGAAAAGAGAGUUAAACAGUACGUGAAAUUGUCAAAAGGGAAGCGUUUGACACCAGUGUUGUUUUUCUGAAAAUCAAUUAAAGAACUGUUUAUGCUAAGUUGUUUAGACUUUAUCAGCUAACUGUUUAGCUUUGAGCCUUUCUUUAAUGCACUUUUCAGUUAACAAGUCAACAUCAAUUUCUUUUGCUGUAAAAAAGCUUGAGGAAGGUGGCUUGAGAUUCGUCUUAAGUGUUUAUAGCCUCUUGCCUAUGCAGUCGGAGAGAUUGAGGUCUGCAGCGUAGAUCCUUCGGGGCUAAAUGCAUUUGUGCUAAGUUAUAGCAUUUUAUAGACAACUUGUUGACUAUGAUUUGUCUUGUAGCUUACUCGCUUAUGUUAUUUUACCUACGCUUAGGAUGUUGAGCGCAUGUCUCUCUCU